CAGUCGCCGCGGGAAUACGAAGGGUGCAAGCGUUAAUCGGAAUUACUGGGCGUAAAGCGUGCGUAGGCGGUGAGUUAAGUCUGCUGUGAAAUCCCCGGGCUCAACCUGGGAAUGGCAGUGGAUACUGGCUCGCUAGAGUGUGUCAGAGGAUGGUGGAAUUCCCGGUGUAGCGGUGAAAUACGUAGAGAUCGGGAGGAACAUCAGUGGCGAAGGCGGCCAUCUGGGACAACACUGACGCUGAGGCACGAAAGCGUGGGGAGCAAACAGGAUUAGAUACCCCCGUAGUCCCUGUCUCUUAUAC
rnacentral:rRNA from 1 species